rnacentral:rRNA from 1 species
UACGUAGGGCGCAAGCGUUGUCCGGAAUUAUUGGGCGUAAAGAGCUCGUAGGCGGCUUGUCACGUCGGGUGUGAAAGCCCGGGGCUUAACCCCGGGUCUGCAUUCGAUACGGGCAGGCUAGAGUGUGGUAGGGGAGAUCGGAAUUCCCGGUGUAGCGGUGAAAUGCGCAGAUAUCGGGAAGAACACCCGUGGCGAAGGCGGCUCUCUGGGACGGUACUGACGCUGAGACGCGAAAGCGUGGGGAGCGAACAGG